rnacentral:rRNA from 1 species
AUUGAACGCUGGCGGCAGGCCUAACACAUGCAAGUCGAACGAGUGGCGGAUGGGUGAGUAAUGUCUGGGAAACUGCCUGAUGGCGGGGGAUAACUACUGGAAACGGUAGCUAAUACCGCAUACCAUCAGAUGUGCUCAGAUGGGUUUAGCUUGUUGGUGGGGUAACGGCUCACCAGGGCGACGUUCCCUAGCUGGUCUGAGAGGAUGACCGGCCAAACUGGAACUGGGACACGGUCCAGCCUCCUACGGGAGGCAGCAGUGGGGAAUAUUGCACAAUGGGCGCAAGCCUGAUGCAGCCAUGCCGCGGGUAUGAAGAAGGCCUUCGGGUUGUAAAGUACUUUCAGCGGGAAGGCGUUACCCGCAGAAGAAGCACCGGCUAACUCCGUGCCAGCAGCCGCGGUAAUUC